UACGAGGGGGGCAAGCGUUGUUCGGAAUUAUUGGGCGUAAAGGGCGCGUAGGCGGUGCGGUAAGUCUGUUGUGAAAUCUCCGGGCUCAACUCGGAGUCUGCAUCAGAAACUGCCGUGCUCGAGUGUGGGAGAGGUGAGUGGAAUUCCAGGUGGAGCGGUGAAAUGUGUUGAUAUCUGGAAGAAUGCCGAAAGCGAAAGCAGUUACCUACAAUUUACCUGACGGUCAGGAACGAAAGCUUGGGGAGCAAAUGGG
rnacentral:rRNA from 1 species